GGAUGAUUUUCCUUAAAUUUGUCUAUCGCAUGCAGGGUUUGGUUCCAAAUACGUUUGCUACCCCUGGAAGAUCUUCUUCAAGUGGAAACUCUAGUGACUUUUUUGA
rnacentral:ribozyme from 1 species